UGAAUUGGUUUCAAUUAUAGUGGAUGAAGUAGACGGCGGUGAUGACGACGAAGACUUCAACCGUUUGCGCAGUGUGCGGGAACAACAUCGCAGGGACAAGUACUUGCAGCGGCUGAUGGCGAGAUCCGUUAGCGCGCAACCGCAAACGGGAAGUGGCGAACUCUUAGACACAGAUGUGUUAUUAGAAGAACUUAUGAAAAUGCAAGCAAAACUCACCCAAGAAGAAAACACUAACAAGGAAAAAAUAUCCAGUGACGCCACUUGACACAGUUUUAUAUUCUCUUGGGAUUAACGUAUCUCUCGAGAUCAUUCCAGUAUUAACGAUUGUGAUAAUUUACACUAUUUAUUAAGUACAGCUUUUGAAAUCAUGUUAAUGUCUAUAAUAUGAAUAAGAAUAAAGUGCAAAUUGAAAUUUA